AUAUGAGUAGAGCGGCGAACGGGUGAGUAACGCGUAGGAAUGUACCUAGUAGAAGGGGAUAGCCCGGGGAAACUCGGAUUAAUACCGUAUACCUCCUUUGGGAGAAAGAAGGCCUCUCUUUGAAGCUUUCGCUAUUAGAUCAGCCUGCGUAAGAUUAGCUUGUUGGUGAGGUAAUGGCUCACCAAGGCUACGAUCUUUAGCUGGUCUGAGAGGACGAUCAGCCACAUUGGGACUAAGACACGGCCCAGACUCCUACGGGAGGCAGCAGUGGGGAAUAUUGGACAAUGGGCGCAAGCCUGAUCCAGCCAUACCGCGUGUGUGAAGAAGGCCUUCGGGUUGUAAAGCACUUUAAGCAGGGAGAAAAAGAUAUGGGUUAAUACCCUAUAUCCGUGAUGUUACCUGCAGAAUAAGCACCGGCUAAUUCCGUGCCAGCAGCCGCGGUAAUACGGAAGGUGCAAGCGUUAAUCGGAAUUACUGGGCGUAAAGCGCGCGUAGGUGGUUUUUUAAGUUGGAUGUGAAAGCCCUGGGCUCAACCUAGGAACUGCAUCCAAAACUGAAUAACUAGAGUACGAUAGAGGGAGGUAGAAUUCAUAGUGUAGCGGUGGAAUGCGUAGAUAUUAUGAAGAAUACCAGUGGCGAAGGCGGCCUCCUGGAUCUGUACUGACACUAAGGUGCGAAAGCGUGGGUAGCGAACAGGAUUAGAUACCCUGGUAGUCCACGCCGUAAACGAUGACAACUAGCUGUUGGAAGGCAAUGCCUUUCAGUGGCGCAAGCUAACGUUUUAAGUGUCCGCCUGGG
rnacentral:rRNA from 1 species